CCACACCAUAAAAACUUUCCACGUGAACCGUUGAAAUCAUGUUCUGUGCUCUCUUUCGGGAGGGCUGAACGAAGGUGGGCUGCUUAAUUGUAGUCUGCCGAUGUAUUUUUCAAACCCAUUUACCUAAUACUGAUCUAUACUCCAAAAACGAAAGUUUAUGGUUUUAAUCUAUAA
rnacentral:misc_RNA from 1 species